rnacentral:misc_RNA from 1 species
UCCUCUCUCCAGACCUCUGGA